CCUACGGGGGGCAGCAGUGGGGAAUAUUGGGCAAUGGGCGCAAGCCUGACCCAGCCACGCCGCGUGAGCGAUGAAGGCCUUCGGGUUGUAAAGCUCUGUGGGGAGGGGCGAAAAGCAGAAGUGCUAAUAGUACUCUGUUUGACGGUACCUCCUUAGCAAGCACCGGCUAACUCUGUGCCAGCAGCCGCGGUAAGACAGAGGGUGCAAACGUUGCUCGGAAUUACUGGGCGUAAAGCGCGUGUAGGCGGGAAGAUAAGUCGGGUGUGAAAUCCCUGGGCUCAACCUAGGAACUGCAUCCGAAACUGCCUUUCUGGAGUGAUGGAGAGGAAAGCGGAAUUCCCGGUGUAGAGGUGAAAUUCGUAGAUAUCGGGAGGAACACCAGUGGCGAAGGCGGCUUUCUGGCCAUCAACUGACGCUGAGACGCGAAAGCGUGGGGAGCAAACAGGAUUAGAUACCCUUGUAGUC
rnacentral:rRNA from 1 species